rnacentral:rRNA from 1 species
UCGAGAAUCUUCCGCAAUGGGCGAAAGCCUGACGGAGCGACACCGCGUGCAGGACGAAGGCCUUCGGGUUGUAAACUGCUGUCACGCUAUAGGAACCCCGGGUUGUUAAUAGCGACCCGGUCGACUAAAGCGAGAGGAAGUGGCGGCUAACUCUGUGCCAGCAGCCGCGGUAAGACAGAGGCCACGAACGUUGUUCGGAAUUACUGGGCAUAAAGCGCACGUAGGCGGCUAGGUCCGUCCGAUGUGAAAUACCCCGGCUCAACCGGGGAACUGCAUCGGAUACAGCCUGGCUUGAGGAUGGUUGGGGUGAGUGGAACUCCUGGUGGAGCGGUGAAAUGCGUAGAUAUCAGGAGGAACACCGGUGGCGAAAGCGGCUCACUGGACCAUUACUGACGCUGAGGUGCGAAAGCUAGGGGAGCAAACGGGAUUAGAUACCCAAGUAGUCCCUGAGCGGGCUGGCAAGGCGCAU